CCAUGGAGGGCCAGGUAGAUGAGCUGAGGCAGCAGCUGGAGAAACAGACCCUGAUCAACCAGGAGCUGCAGAACCACAACAAGGACCUAGGUACGAUCACGACCAUGACUACCAUGACCGCAAGCAUAACUUAGAUCAAGACCAUAUGAACAUGAUUGACCACAACAAAGACUGCAGCCAUGAAAUAAACCAUGACUUAAAACACAUUUAUCCCAACCAAUACAAUGCUCUCCUGUCACCUCCAGAGAGAAGACUGCAGGAGAAGGAGAAGUUGCUGCAGGACCUUCACAGUCAUUAUCAUGACCUGGAGUUCCCUGCUCAGAGGAACAGUAAUGAAGGGGAACCGGAGGUCAGGAAGAGCAGAGCGGCUGUCAUGGCCCCUGAGCCAAUCCCAGAGGAGCAGCUGGAGAUCUUGAAGACCAAAGUCAAGAAGACCGUCAGCGAGACAAGUCUGAUCGUCAUGGCCAUCCAGAAGAACGACUUCCUGAGUCGCCUUGACGAUGAGCAGAUCACCAUGAUGGUGGAGCUCCUGGUGGCCAUCGACUUCAAACCAGGAAAUGAUGUCAUCAAGGAGGGUAGUGAGGGAGACAGUAUGUACAUCGUUGCAGGUAUGUGUGAAUUUCUCUAA
rnacentral:lncRNA from 13 species